rnacentral:misc_RNA from 1 species
UCCGGAUUAGAUACCCUGGUAGUCCACGCCGUAAACGAUGGGCACUAGGUGCUUGGGGGAGCGACCCCCUGAGUGCCGGCGCUAACGCAUUAAGUGCCCCGCCUGGGGAGUACGGCCGCAAGGCUGAAACUCAAAGGAAUUGACGGGGGCCCGCACAAGCGGUGGAGCAUGUGGUUUAAUUCGACGCAACGCGAAGAACCUUACCUGGGCUUGACAUCUUGGGGAAAGCCGUGAGAAACCACGGUUCCUCUUCGGAGUCCCAAGACAGGUGCUGCAUGGCUGUCGUCAGCUCGUGUCGUGAGAUGUUGGGUUAAGUCCCGCAACGAGCGCAACCCCCGCUCCCAGUUGCCAGCGAGUCAAGUCGGGGACUCUGGGAGGACUGCCGGUGCCAAACCGGAGG